GAUGAACGCUGGCGGCGUGCCUAAUACAUGCUAGUCGAGCGAACGGACGAGAAGCUUGCUUCUCUGAUGUUAGCGGCGGACGGGUGAGUAACACGUGGAUAACCUACCUAUAAGACUGGGAUAACUUCGGGAAACCGGAGCUAAUACCGGAUGAUAUUUUGAACCGCAUGGUUCAAAAGUGAAAGACGGUCUUGCUGUCACUUAUAGAUGGAUCCGCGCUGCAUUAGCUAGUUGGUAAGGUAACGGCUUACCAAGGCAACGAUGCAUAGCCGACCUGAGAGGGUGAUCGGCCACACGGGAACUGAGACACGGUCCAGACUCCUACGGGAGGCAGCAGUAGGGAAUCUGCCGCAAUGGGCGAAAGCCUGACGGAGCAACGCCGCGUGAGUGAUGAAGGUCUUCGGAUCGUAAAACUCUGUUAUUAGGGAAGAACAUAUGUGGAAGUAACUGUGCACAUCUUGACGGUACCUAAUCAGAAAGCCACGGCUAACUACGUG
rnacentral:rRNA from 1 species